ACACACCUCUGCACUUUAAUUUAAGCACACAGGCUUUGUACUGAGGUGUUGGAAGCAAAGGUGACCUUGAGCAUAUGAAUGCCAGAAGUUGACCGUCGUUGGGCUCCCAUUGCCGGCAGCUGUAUAUUACUGAAAUGGAAAAAGGGUUGUCAAAAGCAUCUACGAGUAAACAAGAUGUUGAUCUGUGUUCAGUGUGCGGGUCACAAAGGUGAAAGAGAUAAAGAGACAGACUGGAAAGAAAGAAACGAGAGAGUGCAAGAGAAGAAGCAAGAAAAACAAUAUUGAUAGAAUUGAAAUGGGAGGGUUUGUGCUCCAUUAAAAGUCCGCUCACUCUCGAUCUGACAGCCUCGCAAUCAGCCUGCAAUUAUUCUCAUCGAGGAGGCCAAUCACAAAGGAGUUAACGCUCAAAAGCUUCUUUUCAGCGCUUCUGCGUUGAAAUAGUCCAUCACAUAUUCUGAUUCCGCUUGGCUUAUUUCAAAGCAUCCCCUUUUCCCCCCUUCUUCUGCUCAGAUGUCAGUUUAUAGAUUUUUUUUUCCCAGGCUAAGCUCAGCUCUUCCCCUUUUGAGCAAAUGUGAUUUCCCACUUUAGUUUCCCUUAAACACACAUUUGCUAGCACAUUAGGUACACCCACAAAUUCUUCCUUUACAAAGAUAAAAAUGUUCAGUUUAGGUUUACCGGUAGGCUGUCUGAGAAAUAUUGAUUUAGCAAUGCAUUUAUUGUUGUGGUUGAAGAUUGAAGUGGUGUAGACUAAGGGCGGGCGUCGGAAAUGAAGGCUCGCCGCACACCAAGUGACUGGACAGUUGUGAAAAAAAAUACACUCAGCUGCACACCAGGGGUUGAACGCUUGUACAAUAGCAACUCACUGCAGAAACAUUGCGACCCUUUUGUUCGUUUUUUAAAAGCUGAGGCAGGCUUGCUACAUCACAAUUUAGAUGUAACUGAAGUGAUGAUGGGAAAACUUGUGGCAAGCAUUAUUCAUCCUUCCUGUAACGUUUGUCCCCAUCAAAGUCGCAUGAUGUUAUUUUUGCGGCACUGCAUCAUACUCAGAGCUAUUUUCAAUUAUUGCCUUUAAUUCCUCCUAUGAGGAGGAAGACGCUGAGACAGGCUACCAGGAACCAAAGGUGUCCAUUAAGUCACAUCCUCCCCCUUCUUCUGGUCUGAAGCCCGUCGACUAAUGGCCUCCCUUCAUGUCUUAUUCUCUAUGAAGCUGUCUUUCAUCCCACACAAUCAUGGAGGCAUGGACCUCUGGCUGCUUCGUUCAUGGCCGAUGGUGGGGAAAUCCACACAAAAAAACACGCAGUCUUCGAGCGGUGUUAUUUAACAAUAUAUUAAUAUUGUGUUUCUGGACUAGUUAAACAAUAUUGCGACAUUGAUACAUAUAAAAAAGACGUAAGAGUAAAUAAUGGUAAGAGAGUUGAGUUCGUAACGUCAUUUAUUACCAGCUCGUCUGUAGGACGUGUCACUAUCAUCGAUAAAGCCCGCACGGAUGGUGUUUGUGUGUGACUUCAUCACCUCGCUCCUUCCUGGAAUGGCUCGCCUUUAUCUCCGGGAAAGCAUCAAGGGACGAAUAAAAAUGAUAGUCUCUGUGUUAAA